rnacentral:rRNA from 1 species
UGCAGUAGGGAAUAUUGCACAAUGGGGCGAAAGCCUGAUGCAGCAACGCCGCGUGUACGAUGAAGACCGUUCGGGUUGUAAAGUACUUUUCUGAAGGACGAGGAAGGACGGUACUUCAGGAAUAAGGGAUCGGCUAACUACGUGCCAGCAGCCGCGGUAAUACGUAGGAUCCGAGCGUUAUCCGAAUUUACUGGGCGUAAAGCGUGUGUAGGCGGUCUGAUAAGUUGGAUGUGAAAGCUCCCGGCUCAACUGGGAGAGGCCGUUCAAAACUAUCAGACUAGAGGACGGUAGAGGGAGGUAGAAUUCCCGGUGUAGUAGUGAAAUGCGUAGAUUAUCGGGAGGAAUACCAGUGGCGAAGGCGGCCUCCUGGACCGUUCCUGACGCUCAGACACGAAAGCUAGGGGAGCGAACGGGAUUAGAAACCCCGGUAGUCCUAGCUGUAAACGAUGCAAACUUGGUGUCGGUGGGGUAAAAUCCGCCGGUGCCGAAGCUAACGCGAUAAGUUUGCCGCCUGGGGACUACGGCCGCAAGGUUA